rnacentral:rRNA from 1 species
UGGGGAAUUUUGGACAAUGGGGGAAACCCUGAUCCAGCCAUCCCGCGUGUGCGAUGAAGGCCUUCGGGUUGUAAAGCACUUUUGGCAGGAAAGAAACGUCAUGGGUUAAUACCCCGUGAAACUGACGGUACCUGCAGAAUAAGCACCGGCUAACUACGUGCCAGCAGCCGCGGUAAUACGUAGGGUGCAAGCGUUAAUCGGAAUUACUGGGCGUAAAGCGUGCGCAGGCGGUUCGGAAAGAAAGAUGUGAAAUCCCAGAGCUCAACUUUGGAACUGCAUUUUUAACUACCGGGCUAGAGUGUGUCAGAGGGAGGUGGAAUUCCGCGUGUAGCAGUGAAAUGCGUAGAGAUGCGGAGGAACACCGAUGGAGAAGGCAGCCUCCUGGGAUAACACUGACGCUCAUGCACGAAAGCGUGGGGAGCAAACAGG